UACGGGAGGCAGCAGUGGGGAAUAUUGGACAAUGGGCGCAAGCCUGAUCCAGCCAUGCCGCGUGAGUGAUGAAGGCCCUAGGGUUGUAAAGCUCUUUCACCGGAGAAGAUAAUGACGGUAUCCGGAGAAGAAGCCCCGGCUAACUUCGUGCCAGCAGCCGCGGUAAUACGAAGGGGGCUAGCGUUGUUCGGAAUUACUGGGCGUAAAGCGCACGUAGGCGGAUCGAUCAGUCAGGGGUGAAAUCCCAGGGCUCAACCCUGGAACUGCCUUUGAUACUGUCGAUCUGGAGUAUGGAAGAGGUGAGUGGAAUUCCGAGUGUAGAGGUGAAAUUCGUAGAUAUUCGGAGAAAAAAAAGUACGG
rnacentral:rRNA from 1 species